CUUGAACAGUGAAUGAUAUGCCUGGAACUAUGUCAUAAACAUAAUUGUUAAUACAGUCAGCCAAUCAACAGCGACCUCUCAGGCUAGGGUCUAGGUUCAAUCAGCCAAGUAGCCCGCUCUUCAAUUUUCAUAGAAUGGGCAAAUUGUCCAUUGCUAAUUGAAAUAUCCCAUCUCUGGGAGCCAGUUAAAGAUGGAAGACAAAGCACAAACUGUUUUGUACUCAAGAUAACUAUAAUACUACCAAUUCUACAAGCUAUUUUACAGAAUAUGAAGUAUUCAUAUAUAAAAAAGAAGUACAUACCAAAGGUUUGUAAAUGCUGUCCCAAAGGGUUGGCUUCUACACAUGUACUUGGAUGAAAAUGAAUGCUUUGUUAGAGCUACAAGACUUAGAUGGUGGAAGGAAUGACAUCAGAGCUCUCUUUCCAGAAGAGUGCAGUGUUAGGAGUAGCCUUAAGAUACUGAACAGAACCCUCAAAAUCCCAGGCCUCUGGUAGAAGACCUGAGAUUGAGAAAGCACAUACUCCCCAUAGGGGUGAGAAGGAAUUUUUUAAAAAUCAACAAUGCAAUAUGCUUGGACAUCAGCCUAUGUUAUUUUUUCAUAUGUUCUUUUAAAUAAAGAAGUGUGUACAGA